rnacentral:rRNA from 1 species
CCCCUUGCUCAAAUUUGAAAUCUUCAAGGGUUUCCCUUUACGAAUUGUAGUUUAAAGAAGUGUUUUCUGUUGAGGUUUUGGUAAAAGUUCUUUGGAAUAGGACAUCGUAGAGGGUGAGAAUCCCGUAUUUGACCUUUACUUUCA